rnacentral:antisense_RNA from 1 species
UUACCUACCGUUGGAACCGCGAUGCCCCGUUCCCUGGCCGCGGCCGCUUCUCCAGGACCCGCGGCGACGGCAAGAGGGCGAGAACUGAGGCCCCAAGUGGCUCCGCGGCCGAGAAGCCUCUUCCUGGGGCGGCCGCUGACGGGAGGUUAAAGCUACGGCUGUGGCGCGGGGCCAGCCCGCAGGUGGCAGUAAAGUGUUUUGUCCAAACUAAAUUACAACGACUACUUCCCAAUAGAUGGAAGCAAAGCGUCUGGACGAAGGAGAGCUUUUUUCUCAUGGUGCUGCUGUGUUAGCCUAGCGACAGCUCUGUAUGGCCCACACCUGGUCCACAGGAAGCUCUCAGGCACCUCUUGCCCGAACAAACUUGGGAGUACAGGCUAAUCCCAGUGCAGAUUCAACAUUCCUCUACUCUGCUGCCAAAACAGCCGCCAGCCUGUGGGAGUCAGACACAGGCCCACGGUGCCCCUCAGACUGCAGGAGGUACAAGUCAAGUGCUCUGAGGAGUUCCAUUGAAGGCCCACUCCCUCGACUUGAAGUAAAAGGCAGGCAGGCACCUGUGGUAAGAAUCACAGCUCACCAGCAACAGUCUCCAAAGACAUUGUCCUCAAUAAUUCUGGUUUGGCCUUUUAUAACUAAAUAACUGAGUAUUUAAUCUACCUGCUUUGUCUAAAUCCUCUGAAAUUUCUAGAGGGGGUCUAUCUCAGAAAUUACUUUAGUUUUUUGGUGGAUGGAGGGAAGAAGAUGGUUUCUUUUGUAAUAAUCUUGUUGCUUCAGUUAAAACAGUGGUUCUCAACUGCGACAAUUUUGGGGGACCAUGUGUGCAGACAUUUUUGGGUUUUUUUUAAACUUUUUUUUUCCUUCUGAAUUCAGGAUCUGCUGAAUACAGACAUUUUUGAUUGUCACCACUGGAGAGGUGCUAUUGGCUGGUGGGAGAAGGUCAAGGAUGCUGGUAAACAUCCUUUACGGCACAGGACAGCCCCUACAGCAAAGAACAGCAAUUCUGUUUGUUACAGAGAUGAGAGAAUACCUCACUAAAAGAAUACUUCAAAAUUACAUCACUUUUUCUUCUUUUUUCCUACAAAUUCUUUACCUGUAGAUGGAAACGUCACAUUUCAAUAUAUCAAUAGAGUCAAAAAUAGCAUUUGCAAUAGCUAUUUGGCCAGGAUGAGAAGUGACUGGUAUAGACCAAUCCUUUGUGUUUCCAAGACUCCCUCUGGAGAUGAGGCCAUGCCAGGAAAAUUAGUACUUGAGA